rnacentral:misc_RNA from 1 species
UCCGCCUUAUCGACGGCAGUCUCCUUAGAGUGCCCAACUUGACUUGAUGGCAACUAAGGACAAGGGUUGCGCUCGUUGCGGGACUUAACCCAACAUCUCACGACACGAGCUGACGACAGCCAUGCAGCACCUGUGCGCCGGCCCCGAAGGGAGGGUGUGUUUCGACACCUGUCCGGCACAUGUCAAACCUGGGUAAGGUUCUUCGCGUCGCAUCGAAUUAAACCACAUGCUCCACCGCUUGUGCGGGCCCCCGUCAAUUCCUUUGAGUUUCAACCUUGCGGUCGUACUCCCCAGGCGGGGCACUUAAUGCGUUAGCUGCGGCACAGGAGGGGUCGAUGCCUCCUACACCUAGUGCCCACCGUUUACGGCUAGGACUAC